GCAGCAAGAGUCAGAACGGCUUUAUUCCCUCUGGGAGUGAAUUGACAUAUUGUUGCGAUGUUGUGUUUGCAAACUCGUAUUUCGAGUUAGGUAGAUUUCUACCGAGUUUCAUCUCUCUAACUAGAGAUGAAGCGAUACUUCCUGUAUUUAUUUUUUUGACCUGUCUGUCAAAUUAUUUAACACCGCCUUAUGGCGGUGUUUUUUUUA
rnacentral:other from 1 species